AAAGUCGUAACAAGGUUUCCGUAGGUGAACCUGCGGAAGGAUCAUUUGCGAGUUUGGGUUGGUUGGGGUGGUGGGGAGAGCGAGGGCUCGGAUUAGGGGAGACUCUGAUCAGAGAUACAUGCUCGACCACGCCUCCAUCCAGCCACAUGAGCACGGGACUGGUCAUCUGGCUGGUCCUGCUUGUAUACGCUUGAGUGUUUGACAGAGUUUUUGUGAUUGAUUGAAAAGACAAUACUUUUAACAAUGGAUCUCUUGGCUCUU
rnacentral:misc_RNA from 1 species